CCUACGGGAGGCAGCAGUAGGGAAUAUUGGUCAAUGGGGGCAAGCCUGAAGCAGCAACGCAGCGUGGAGGAUGAAGGUUUUAGGGGUGUUAACCUCUUUUGUUAGAGAAGUUUAUGACGGUAUGUAACGAAUAAGCACCGGCUAACUCCGUGCCAGCAGCCGCGGUAAUACGGAGGGUGCAAGCGUUACACGGAAUCACUGGGCGUAAUGAGUGCGUAGGCGGGGUAAUAAGUCAGAUGUGAAAGCCUGUAGCUUAACUACAGAACUGCAUUUGAAACUGUUACUCUGGAGUGUGGGAGAGGUAGGUGGAAUUCUUGGUGUAGGGGUAAAAUGCGUAGAGAUCAAGAGGAACACUGAUUGCGAAGGCAACUUGCUGGAACAUUACUGACGCUGAUGCACGAAAGCGUGGGGAGCAAACAGGAUUAGAUACCCGGGUAGUC
rnacentral:rRNA from 1 species